CCGAGUUUACAACUCCCAAACCCCUGUGAACCUUACCUAUCGUUGCCUCGGCGGAUGCCCUCGCGGGCAGCCGCCAGAGGACCCAAACCCUCUGUUUUUUUACGUGGUAUCUUCUGAGUAACAAGCAAAAAAUAAAUCA
rnacentral:misc_RNA from 1 species